rnacentral:rRNA from 1 species
GGCGACCGGCGCACGGGUGAGUAACACGUAUCCAACCUGCCCAUGACUCGGGGAUAGCCUUUCGAAAGAAAGAUUAAUACCCGAUGGUAUAUGUUUCCUGCAUGGGGAAUAUAUUAAAGAAUUUCGGUGAUGGAUGGGGAUGCGUUCCAUUAGUUUGUUGGCGGGGUAACGGCCCACCAAGACUUCGAUGGAUAGGGGUUCUGAGAGGAAGGUCCCCCACAUUGGAACUGAGACACGGUCCAAACUCCUACGGGAGGCAGCAGUGAGGAAUAUUGGUCAAUGGACGAGAGUCUGAACCAGCCAAGUAGCGUGAAGGAUGACUGCCCUUUGGGUUGUAAACUUCUUUUAUAUGGGAAUAAAGUGGGGUAUGCAUACCCUUUUGUAUGUACCAUUAUGAAUAAGCAUCGGCUAACUCCGUGCCAGCAGCCGCGGUAAUACGGAGGAUGCGAGCGUUAUCCGGAUUUAUUGGUUUUAAAGGGAGCGUAGGUGGGCGAUUAAGUCAGUUGUGAAAGUUUGGGGCUCAACCUUAAAAUUGCAGUUGAUACUGAUUGUCUUGAGUGCGUUAAAGGUGGGCGGAAUUC